rnacentral:lncRNA from 1 species
AAACACCGGGGACCCCCAUCCCAAAGGCUGCGACCCUCUCCCUCGGGAGGCACAGGGAGGGCUGCUUUAGAGGAACUUCCAGGGUCACGUUCCAGGCGUGCUCUGGGAGGGCCCCGGGCCCCUGUCCACGUCCAGACCCUCGCAGGCCUCUCCUUCCCGUGGGUGUGCUCAGGGCAGUGAGCUGGGGCCAUGAGGGCUGCCCUCACAAGGCCAGGGACCCCCUUAYAGUCAGAACAGCUCAAGUAGCACCCCGCCUGGGCCCCUGCGGGAAGCCACCAGGGCACACUUUGAGCUGGCCAGCUGCCAGGGGGCAGCUCACGUUUAAACAAKCUGCUCUAAAACCCACGCUCCCCGAGACCCUCCAGACCGAUUUCGUUGUUGACGGGGACACAGGGCUGCCCGAGAACGUUCUAGUUGUCACCCCCAAGCAAGAACAUUCAGCUGAGCCCCUGAGCCGGAGGUCACCUCAGGUCAGGCUCUGCGCUGACCCCRCUGCCGUGGCCAGGCCCCCAGCUGGGGUUUGCAGGAGGCAGGUGGUCUGUAGACAGCGCAGGGCCCUCGAGGGAGGCGAAGCCGGUCAGGUCCAAGGCAGGGGUCGGGCGCUGGCCACUUACCACGACAGCAGCUCCAGGCCCAGAGAGCCGGACCCUGCUGYGGGCAGCACCAGGGAGGGCUGCCUCGAGGCCCACCUGGCCGCCUCUUCAGGAGGCUGUGAUCCUGUCCUGCUCCAGACGCUUGGGGGUGGGGACAGGCCAYGGCCCCUCCAGAGGGAACGGCCCCCCCUGUCCUGGUGAGUCACCAGGGAGCAGGCAGGGCUCCCAGAGGAGGCUGCUGGGUGGCCCCCUCCCACCUUGUCACGUCCCUCGCCAUCAGGAUGACCCUCAGGCCCCACACCCAGUGCUGGUGGCCUCUGCAGACUCAUGGCUCCACCCUGCCACCCACCUCCCUGUCCCUCUGGGCCUUUGCCCRGGUCAGGAGACCAAGCUCCCAGGUGCCAGCUCUGUGCCCUCAGAAAGUCCCUCCCUCCAGGGCUCAGUGUCCCUGUAGUGGAGGGGGCCAUCCUGGGGCGGCUGGUGCCUGUCGGGGACUCUGCCCUGUGGCCUGCGGACUGCCCACGCG